UGCGUUUCCCUUACUAAUCAUUCAAUCUUGAAGUUUCGUAUGGUUGAAAAUAUAUGUUUGUCAAUUACUAAUAUAUGUUUUCUUUUAAAUACAUUUUUUUGGUGGAUUUCUUUCAAAUACAUUAUAUAUGCAUUAUGUGGAUUUUAUGUAUUUUUAAUAAUUAAUUCUUUCUCUAUUUAAUUAGAAAAAGAUGAUACUACUUUAUUGUAAAGGAAUAAAGCAUUAGUUGCCAAAAAAGGAAAAAAAUAAUAA
rnacentral:lncRNA from 1 species